UUUGAUCAAAUUCGAUCAACUACUUAAAAAAAAAAUUAAUCUUAUGCUCUCUCUCUAGUGAAACCACCCUUUACUCCCUUCUCCAAAUCCGCCGCUUGCGGCCUCCCACCACGUAAUCCUUGUUUUUGGUGGUGCGAUGAGUGGUGUUAGGCCCUUCGCACCACCAUUUACUCAUAUUUACUAUUCGGACGACGAAUUUCCUUCUCUGUUCCUUGUCUUCUCCUUCAAGAUUCGGUGAUCUAGCUUGUCUCUUCCACCGUCCUUCGUUUGAAGGUGAUUGUUAGUAAGCUUCUGCGUUUUGGUUGGUGAUUCAAGGUUCGGAGCCAAGUUAGUGGGUUUGGGGUUUUUUUCGCCCGGUGGCUCUUCUUUCUCUUUUCAGAUUCAAAAUAGGUGGUGGCAUCAUAUAUGGCUUUGCGGUGGUUUGGUUGCUUAAACCUGAAGGUCAGUUGAGAUCUGCAGGUCUCAAGACUUCAUGGAUGCCUCUUCUCCGGCACUUCUUAUCCAUCCCAGUUUUGCGAUUGAGAUUGAAAUGUUAUGCUCGAAAGAGCUUUUAUGCCUGCUGCAUUGUUUGAGGGGUUGUUGGUACGUGGAUUGGUGAUCGAUCCAUUCGCCAAUUGUGAACCUGGUUGAUCUUAUGGACGCUCACUCUUCACUUUUUUUGUAAUAUGGUUUCGUGCUCGUACGCGAGUUCGCUAGGUUGCGCUCGUGAUAAAUGUUUGUUUUAUUAGGAUUGAUUAGGUUGGUCCAUGUGGUUUGUAUUUUUAUGUGUUAUAUCCACUUGGAUUGUACCUCAAUCAGCUUUUAUAUCCCCUAGUCUCUCUAUCUCGUUUUAUUUAUUUAUUAUAACUCCUUUUUGCCUAAAAAAUUAUCAAAUUCAAUUAUCGCUGCCCAGUUAAUAGAUGGAGAGUAUAAUUUAACAUUUUAAAAAUUCAGUAG
rnacentral:lncRNA from 1 species